rnacentral:misc_RNA from 1 species
AACGCACAUGGCGCCUUCCAGUAUCCUGGGAGGCAUGCCUGUCCGAGCGUCGUUUCAACCCUCGAGCCCCAGUGGCCCGGUGUUGGGGAUCUACGUCUGUAGGCCCUUAAAAGCAGUGGCGGACCCGCGUGGCCCUUCCUUGCGUAGUAGUUACAGCUCGCAUCGGAGUCCCGCAGGCGCUUGCCUCUAAACCCCCUACAAGCCCGCCUCGUGCGGCAACGGUUGACCUCGGAUCAGGUAGGAAUACCCGCUGAACUUAA